rnacentral:Y_RNA from 1 species
GGCUGGUCUCAUGGUAGUGUGUUAUCAGAACAUAUUAACAUUAAUGUCAUUAAUGUUGGUAUACAACCCCCCACUGCCAAAUUCAACUGGCUUAAA